UACGUAGGGCGCAAGCGUUGUCCGGAAUUAUUGGGCGUAAAGAGCUCGUAGGCGGUUUGUCGCGUCUGCUGUGAAAACCUAAGGCUCAACCUUGGGCUUGCAGUGGGUACGGGCAGACUAGAGUGCGGUAGGGGUGACUGGAAUUCCUGGUGUAGCGGUGGAAUGCGCAGAUAUCAGGAGGAACACCGAUGGCGAAGGCAGGUCACUGGGCCGCAACUGACACUGAGGAGCGAAAGCAUGGGGAGCGAACAGG
rnacentral:rRNA from 1 species